rnacentral:rRNA from 1 species
AGAGUUUGAUCCUGGCUCAGAGUGAACGCUGGCGGCGUGGAUUAGGCAUGCAAGUCGUGCGAUGUCUUUCUGGAAGGGGGUGUCUCCGUAAGGAGAUGUUCCUGGAAGGAGAAUCAUAGCGGCAAACGGGUGAGUAACACGUGAGUAAUUUACCUUUAAGACGGGGAUAACCUUGUGAAAGCGAGGGUAAUACCUGAUGUGUCCUCUAGUACUUAAGUACAGGAGGGUAAAGGAAGCUGGUAACAGCUUCCGCUUAUAGAUGAGCUCGCGUCCUAUCAGCUUGUUGGUAGGGUAAUGGCCUACCAAGGCAAUUGACGGGUAGCUAGCCUGAGAGGGCGGUUAGCCACACGGGGACUGAGACACUGCCCCGACUCCUACGGGAGGCUGCAGUCGAGGAUAUUUAGCAAUGGGCGAAAGCCUGACUAUGCGACGCCGCGUGAGGGAUGAAGGUUUUCGGAUCGUAAACCUCUUUCGAUGGGGAAGAAACUUUUUAGCAAAAUAUGCUAAAAACUGACGGUACCUAGAGAAGAAGCCACGGCCAACUCCGUGCCAGCAGCCGCGGUAAUACGGGGGUGGCGAGCGUUACUCGGAUUCAUUGGGUGUAAAGGGCAAGUAGGCGGCUAUAUAAGUUGGAGGUGAAAUACUUUGGCUUAACCAAAGAACUGCCUCCAAAACUGCAUAGCUUGAGGCUAGAAGAGGAGAGCGGAAUUCCCGGUGUAAGGGUGAAAUCUGUAGAUAUCGGGAGGAACGCCAGUUACGAAAGUGGCUCUCUUGUCUGGCCCUGACGCUAAAUUGCGAAAGCUAGGGUAGCAAACAGGAUUAGAUACCCUGGUAGUCCUAGCCGUAAACGAUGAGCACUAGGUGUUGGGAGUUUACUUUCAGCGCCGUAAGAUAACUCGUUAAGUGCUCCACCUGGGGACUACGGCCGCAAGGCUAAAACUCAAAGGAAUUGACGGGGGCCCGCACAAGCGGUGGAACAUGUGGUUCAAUUCGACGCUACGCGAAGAACCUCACCAGGGCUUGACAUGCAGGAAGUAGGAAGCGGAAACGUGGACGACCUGUCAAAUCAGGAGCCUGCACAGGUGCUGCAUGGCUGUCGUCAGCUCGUGUCGUGAGAUGUUGGGUUAAGUCCCGCAACGAGCGCAACCAUCGUUCUUAGUUGCCACCUUUUGGCAUCGUAAGAUGUUGAGAGAGCACUCUAAGGAGACUGCCCGCGAUAAGCGGGAGGAAGGUGGAGAUGACGUCAAGUCAGUAUGGCCUUUAUGCCCUGGGCUACACACGUGUUACAAUGCCCACUACAAAGCGUUGCCAAACCGCGAGGUGGAGCUAAUCGCAAAAAAGUGGGCUCAGUUCAGAUUGGAGUCUGCAACCCGACUCCAUGAAGAUGGAAUCGCUAGUAAUGGCGGAUCAGCUACGCCGCCGUGAAUACGUUCCCGGGCCUUGUACACACCGCCCGUCAAGCGAUGGGAGCUAGUGGUACCUAAAAUUCCCACCUAGUGGGACCGAAGGUAAAACUGGUGACUGGCGCUAAGUCGAAACAAGGUA